AGGAAGUUUUCCAUAAAACAUUCUGGGCUUAAUGUGAGCUAAGACAGUGUUAGUGAUACUUACACGUAUUAAUUAGGGGAGUAAAUGUGUUGUGCUAUUAAGAGCUAUUUUUAUCUCAAUACUUUAUCUCAAUAAGGAAUAUUACUGCUUUAGGAUCUGAUGAUAACAGUUCUGAAUACCAGCAGGGAAGGAUUUUCAGCAAAGACAAAAUAUUUGUAUCAACAGAAAUUGGCUCAGUGCUGUUCUGGUCACUUGAGCUCAUGAGAACACAACCUCUUCUCAGGACGCAUCAUGACAUGGUGACAAAGGCCAAUUCUUAGGGAACACAAGGAUCUACAUUCCAGCCAAGAAAGAGCUAGACAGGCAAAGAGGAUCAAGUCUUGGAGGAAAGGUUGAACUUCUUUCCUGUAGAGUUUUUCCCUCAGUGAAGUUCCGCCUGCAAAGAGUUGUUGUACUCCCUCUUCCCUGCAGAUACUUGCCUGGUAUCAAAUGGCGAUAUGACUCAGUGUGCCUGCCUGCAAGCAAGCAUUUCCACGCUCACACAUCUUCAGCAGCUUUCUGACUCAGCAGGAGUUCAUGCUCUGCUCUGUCACAAAAUAGCAGACUGAGUAUUCUGCAGUGCAGGAACUGAAAAUUGACUGCCUUACACUUCCCUUUGAACUACUGAUGAUGAAAGUCACAAGUAUGUCUGCCUUUCUAUCAGUGGUCUGCUACCACGUACACUGGGUUCUGUGGAAUGCCAAAUGCCUGUUUUAUCGACUGAAUGGGAAAAUCAGUGCUGCUACUGGCUGACGAAAAGUAUUAUGGACUACCUGUAACCUCAUGAUGCUCCCUAUCACAGAUAAGUUUUCCAAACCAAUUAUGCAGUUUUUGGCUUUAUAGAAAGACUCCUGUAGCUUUACACUCUAACUCUGUUCAAGAGAAGAUGUUCUGCACCCUCACUGGACAUGAGAUCCCUUUGUGAAAAUUGUCAGUAACGGAAGCUCUUUGACCAAACACUGCCUACAAAUGAGAAAACAGACAUUAAAAAUGCCAUCUCUGAUAUCUCAAAGGACUGGAUAAUAAGUUAAUAUUGAGCCCCAGUGGUAGGUUUCUGUAUCAAAGGCGACAAAUGUUGCAAUUCAUAAAGUCUCUGUUGUUAUGCAAAAAGUUCUGGCAUGGUUUAGCUCUGAUAAAACAUCUUUUGUUGUUAUUACUCUGUGUUCUCUGCAAAGACAUGAUACCACUAUUCUUGGGGUCUUUGUAGGAUGGAGCAGAAGAGCUUGAACCAUCAGAAGCUGUGGAGCAGGGAUUUUUUGUUUAUAAUAUUGCUCUCUAAGUCUUCUGCCAAUUACACAGAUGUAGGGUUACUGUUAAAAUAUGGUAAAGUCAAUGCCUGGAGAUGUGAGUCUCAGAAUUUGUGCUGUGCAGGUUUUAUAUUGCUGCAAGUAGAUAGGACAUUUUCCAGUGCAUUAGGGAAAAUGCAUGAGAAAAUGAAUGGGCUUUUAUUACUGUAUUUAGUGGGCAUGAAUCCCGUCUUUCAGAACCGAGGUUGGAUGCUUCAGAUCUCUGCAGUGCAAUUCAUUAUGGGCUGGCUUCCACUGGGUGCACGGAACAAUCCAUUAAAUGAUUGAAAACGAACAGUGAGCUUUUUUAAAAGACAGGCUAUAGUGCGCUAGGGCUAAAAGCUGUGCUGGCCUUCGGAGUUUUUACUUAUACACCAUUCAAUCCACACAGAUUGCUACAAAAUUUCAGCAAGAAGGUCAUUUCCCUGUCCCAUUUAUCAGCUGGCACACACAAAGCCCUGGCAUAUUACUACAACUGAAAAACUACUGGAAAGCUAUGAAUUCGAGUAUAUUUUUAGCAAUAUCAGCUGUACUGGUUUUGAGCUAAUAUACAGCAUAUUUUAGACACAGUUUCUCUGUAUACAGUUUUCAGAACGUUAUAUAAACGUUUAUUUACAUCUUUUGGUAUCUUUUGUUUAACUUGGCCUUCCUAAGGAGGCAGAUUUUAUAUAAACACACAGAAAUGGGGAGAGUAGUGGAGAUGUUCUCAGAGUUAGAAAAGGGACAACGUUUGAAGCUAUAACAAGAUCUAUGCGUACGUAUGUCUUUAGAUCAAGUGCAGUUCAGAUGAGUUGUCACAAAGGAGGCUCUACACAUGUAUGUUAAGAACCCAAAUUGAAGUGUGGCUGGUCUGUCCCCUAGUCCGUGUGGACCUGCCCUGUCUCAGCUCCAUCAGACCCAAAGAGCAACUGCUGUUCAAAGAAGCUGCCUGCGGGCUGUGUGGCCUCUGUUGUACAUGUCUGGUACUGGUGCUGUAUGCUGCACCUCGCUGGUGCUGUGUAAUGUGCCUCCCCCCAUUCUCUGUCAGUCCUUCAUAUCCCCCUUUUACCUUUAAUAGCUUGUUUUAAAAGGUGACACUUUGGCAGCUAGUCCUAUAGGAGUUUCUAGUCUCUUCACUGGAAGUUACUUUCAAUUAUAGACAACAUGGACAGUGUGCAAAGUGUCCAUGAAUCAAAGUUACAGCAGGUCUUUGCUAAUUCCAGAUGGGGUAAUGAGUAUUAACCUUGACUGCAAAAAAAAAAAAGAUGCAGCAGUUCGCCUUCAAUAGAUUUUAAAAUUGAUUUAAUGAAGAAAAAACUACGAACACUGUGCAUAUUGUUAGCCUGGUUUCAGUUUACUACAGUUUAAGCCCAUUUCUGAUAGUCAAGAAAAAACAAGACAAGGAUGUUCAUACUGUCCUCUGCAGUAGCCAAUUAAACCCUAAUCCAAACUACAACUUCUCAGCAAACAGUGCAACUUCUUCAUGCUGCCAUGUCUCACUGACUUUCUGUGAGCUGGCAGCAUUAUUUUUAAAAGUUGUUCUGAAGGAUUCCUGGAUCUAUGUCAAAGGCUUGCUUAAGGGAAGAAAAAUAAAAAGACAGAAAAGGAAAUUUGUUUUUAAAAGUCAAACUGCAAGUAACAGCUCAAUGGGUAAAAAAGAAAAAACUCAUUUGUUGAUUGGGCUCAGGUGGUCCUGGUUAAUGGGUCAUACUCAUGGUUUGGAAACAAAUGGAUUACUGCAGGGCGUCUAUCCUGAACCUGUUUAGUGUCUUUAUCAGUGGUCUAGAGGAAGUGAUAGAGGGCUCUUCCAUCAAGUUUUCAGUGACACCAAAGUGAGGGCAUCACCAACGGCAGGGCUGCCACAGUGAGAGACCUACACAGCCUGCAGGAAGAGGCCCACAAGGACUUGCUGCAAUUCAGUAAGGAAAAAUGGGAAGUCCUACACCGGGGAAGAAAGAGCUCCCCUGUGAUGAUACAGGCCUGGGGAUGUGGGGCGGUUCUGUGAAAAAGGCCACAGGGCUCUCAGUAGCUGCAGGCUGCACACGAGCAAGCCCAGAGCUCUGGCAGCAGACGAAUUCAGUGGUGUGCUCAGUUGUAUCAGAGAGAGCAUAGCCUCGAGCUGGAGGGAUGUGCUCUCAGCUUAGCACUCAUUAGACAGCAUCUGGAAUGUUGUGUCUAGUUUGAGGCCCCUCCAGCACAAGAGAGACCUCGAUAAACUGGAGCAAGUUCAGCAGAGGGUCACAGAGGUGAUCCAGGCCUGGAGGCCAGGCCCUGUGAAGAGAGGCUGGGGGAGCAGGGGCAUCCUGUUAGGUCUCUCCAAAGCCUCCUCAUCCCCAGAUUGAACAAACACUGCUCCCCCAGCCUUUUCUCACAGAGCCUGGACUGCAGCCCUGGACCAUCUGUGAGGAAGUCAGCAGAAGACAGAGCCAGGCUCUUCACAGUGGUGUGCGACAGGAGAAUGAGAGAUAAUGGCUGUUUGGGGGGGAUGAAAGAUACAGGCUAGAUAGAAGAAACUGUUUCUUCACAAGGGCAAGCAAAUGUGGGAGCAGAUUGCCAGAGGCUGUGCAGUCUCCAUCCCUGGAAGUUUUCAAGACAAACAUCUGAUGUCAUUUGAGCUCAGCACUGCUUGGCUGGAUCCCAUUGGAGCUCUCCAGGUUUCACGUGGAGUUCACUAGCAGCAGUGCAGUGGGGGAGCAUGGUCCCUACAGGAAAGGUGCUGAUGUGCAUCUCUUAGCAGCAAAGCCUUCCCCAUCCUUUCAGAAACCUUUUGGUGUGGACAACAUAUGGGACCCGUGGGAGUAGUAGGACAGUCCACAACAGCAGUUCCCAGAGAACUGGGCGGAGGGAGUGCAGAAAAACACAGGAACUCCUAACGUCUCCUGCACUGCAAUCUCCCUUAUCUCUUUAAUUGCUGAGAGAAUGUACUCUCCCAGAAUAGAAGGCAGCAAGAUGGAAAAACAAAUUCUGAGUGGUCUUAGCCGAAUUAUGAUUGUGUUGGGCUACAUACUGCAGCCCAUCACUUCUAAGUCUGUCAUUACUUAGCCACAAGCAAGAAAUAUCUUGCAAGCUGAGCUAAGUGCUAGCCAGUGAAGACAGUAUAUUCUCAUUAUACCCACGCAUGGAGCAUAGCUGGGAGAACCAGGAAAAUGCUUAUUCACCUUACAUGCCCCACAGAGGGCCUGGCUCGCCUGCUCCAUGCUGCAGCUGUGCCACUGCCAUCUACGAAGGCUUCCUCCACUGCGACAGGCAUAUGCGCACUGCAGUGUUGGCAUGAAUACUCGAUUGCAGUGCUUUCCUUCUAGUGCACAGGUUGGCGUGAUAAUGUCAAAUUUUGUAACUAGUCUCUCUUGAGUCAAGGGUUAAACUUGCAUACUCUCUCUGAACGUUGGUCCUGUAACAUUUUUUUUCUGAUCAAAGUAGUCUGCUAAUUAGAUUUCUUUUGGCCAGAAAUUGGAGAUAAGAAAGACAGGGUUGUGUCAGCAAAAGCAACGUCAAACAGGAAUGCCUGUAUGGUAACAAAGCUAUUAUGGAAGUGAUUUGCAGCUGUAUGAAAUCCACGUAUACAGUGAAAUAAGAUAAUAUUGUUUGAAGGAUGUUGUGGAUAUAUCUUGCUCUGGGAGCAGAUCCCAGAUUUUUGGUUUCUAAGCCUUAAGCCCAUUUAAUAUAAAUAUUUAGUAGUUAGCUCAUUCUUAAGACAUUUGCAUGCCUACCAUGAACCAGAGUAAUACAUAAAUGAUAACUGUGAGAUUUGUUGGACUGAAUGUAGUCCCAAUCCAAGACUUGUGGACUCAGUAGAGAGAUUUUUUGGUCUUUUACUGGCAUUGGAUUAUAUCCUGAAUUGGUUAGGUACAAUGAAAAUCUCUGUGGAUGUUAUUCUGAUAUAUGCAUACCCCAAAGUAGUAUUACAUCAUGUUGUGACUGUUAAUUAUUUUAAUUAUUAUUUUAAGGUAAAAAUAUGCAGAUCAAAUUACUUUGGAUUUUAAACUGCUGUUGCAGUAUGGCUCACUUACAGGGACGAGUCACUGUAGCUCUGAGUACUCAGUGAUUUUCUAGUGGUAUCUUCACAGCAAGGAUACAGCUAAGACACUGAUAUUAAAUUCUGGCCUUGAACACUCUCGCUUGUACUCUGUUAAUAAAUCCCAAUUCUGAAUACUGUCAUGGGAGUGAACGGGGAGGAAGAAGAAUGGAAGGACUUUUCUGAGUCAGGAAGAGAGAGCUUAUGUGAGAGAUUGUUGCACUCCAUGUCAUUAUCUGCAAAUUGCUUAAUGGCAGAAAUACAUGUUACGCAAACAUUAAGCUUUCCCCCUAAUCAGCAGAAGCCUUUUUAAAAAAGGUGGCAGCAAAAGGCUUUCAUAUGUGCUUGUAGUCCUGGUAAAAUCACGUUUGAUUCCCAGGUUAGAUUUGCUGUAAUUGCGUGUGCAUAUGCUGUUUGCAGCCUUUUGAGAUAUAUUGACAUUAAAAUAUCAUGAUGUUAGGCUAAGAAAUCACUUUUUGCUGAAGAGAAAAAGUAUUUUGAUCGUUGUUACAGGAUUAAAACAAGACGGCUGGCACUCCCUCUGCAGCCACAAGACCCAGUGCUCUGGCGGCCGUCGCCACCCACAGAGCAAUGAGGUGGAGCCGCCGGCAUAUCGGCUCCGAAGCCAUAGCACCUUGCAGUCUGUAUGGUGGCCAGAUGCCUGAGAGCGGUAGCAGUUAGCAGUCUGAAAUCAAUCCCCAUUCCCAAAUGCUUCAGAUGGAGUGUGUGUGACGAUAGGUGUAUACAGAGGGCCAGGAAGCUGCCUACGGCGUGUGCGGAGCUAAACUUGUGUGACCAAGCUCAAGGACAGGGUUAAGUCUGAGGUCAGUGCUUGUCAGCACCCUGGAAGAGAGGCAUGCGCUUUGGCUUGGUCGAAUGAGCAGCCAUUGGCAUCAGCCUCACCUGCACACCUGACUUUGUGACCAGCAGCAGCUCUGAUCCAAACCCAGAGUGGGUUCAGUAGUGGCUCCGUGCCUGUCUGACUGGGCGUGUUGGCCUCCACCACACUAGUCUUCCUCAGGGGUUCUGUACAAGCCUGGGAGACCAAGGAGGGAAUUAAGUCUUGGGUUACUUGUGUUUCAGCAACCCUUGAUUCCCCAAAGCAUAUAUCGUAUUUCAGUCCUACUCAGUUAACUUUGACAGUUCAUGACUGAAGAAAUAUAUAACUUUGGUGUAGGACUGCUUUGCUAGGAGGACAUGAUGUAUUUUUAAUUACCAAAGACCUUUGUCAUCACAGAAUGGUAUUUACAAGGAGAUUUUUCUCUCUGCCAUGGUUGUUCGUAUUUCUUACUGCUUGAUUUCAUUUGCAUCUUAGCAAAAUGAGAAAGAAUCAAAAUUUUCUUGAUCUAAAUCUUUUAUUUGUACUGGACUGAAAAGGUAUUGAAUUGCUUAUAUGACAGUCGGUACCUGGCAGAUAUAACAUCACUUUCUAAUGCCCUCUAUGCAAUAUUACUUAAUGUAAAAGGUAGCAUAACAAAAGGAAGAAAUACAGGAUGUUGCUUUACCUUCUUUUCUUGGUAAAGAAAGUGAAAAGCAGAAAUGUCACAGGUGAACUGAGAUUAUAUCCUGCAGCUAGAGAGAUUGGAAAGAGACUUUAAAGAAACCUUUAAAAAAAAAGUAUAUAGUAUUAUCAAUUCUUAUAUAAAAUAAUUUAUGAUUUUUAAAUACUGUUUAAAUAAUUUAUCUGUAUUUAAAACUAACCUUUUAAAAUUUUGUUUGGAACAUUUUUGGCAUUAAUGCUUAAAUAAAAAUGUUUACAUAUUAAA